rnacentral:tRNA from 1 species
GCCGGGCUGGCGGAACCGGUAGACGCAAACGACUCAAAAUCGUUCGCCGCAAGGCGUGGGGGUUCGAGUCCCCCGCCCGGUA